rnacentral:rRNA from 1 species
AUUGAACGCUGGCGGCAGGCCUAACACAUGCAAGUCGAGCGGAUGAAGGGAGCUUGCUCUGGGAUUCAUCGGCGGACGGGUGAGUAAUGCCUAGGAAGCUGCCUGGUAGUGGGGGAUAACGUCCGGAAACGGGCGCUAAUACCGCAUACGUCCUGAUGGUGAAAGUGUGGGAUCUUCGGACCUCACGCUAUCAGAUGACCCUAGGUCGGAUUAGCUAGUUGGUGGGGUAAAGGCCUACCAAGGCGACGAUCCGUAACUGGUCUGAGAGGAUGAUCAGUCACACUGGAGCUGAGAAGCGGUCCAGACUACUACGGGAGGCAGCAGUGGGGAAUAUUGGACAAAGGGCGAAAGCCUGAUCCAGCCACGCCGCGGGUGUGAAGAAGGUCUUCGGAUUGUAAAGCACUUUAAGUUGGGAGGAAGGGCAGUAGGUUAAUAUCUUGCUGUUUUGACGUUACCUACAGAAUAAGCACCGGCUAACUACGUG